rnacentral:rRNA from 1 species
GACGAACGCUGGCGGCGUGCUUAACACAUGCAAGUCGAGCGGUAAGGCCCUUUCGGGGGUACACGAGCGGCGAACGGGUGAGUAACACGUGGGUGACCUGCCCUCAGCUCUGGGAUAAGCCCGGGAAACUGGGUCUAAUACCGGAUAUGACUUCAUGACGCAUGUUGUGGAGUGGAAAGCCUUGUGCGGCUGAGGAUGGGCCCGCGGCCUAUCAGCUUGUUGGUGGGGUGAUGGCCUACCAAGGCGACGACGGGUAGCCGGCCUGAGAGGACGACCGGCCACACUGGGACUGAGAUACGGCCCAGACUCCUACGGGAGGCAGCAGUGGGGAAUCUUGCGCAAUGGGCGAAAGCCUGACGCAGCGACGCCGCGUGAGGGAUGACGGCCU